rnacentral:misc_RNA from 1 species
GAUGAAGAACGUAGCGAAAUGCGAUACGUAAUGUGAAUUGCAGAAUUCAGUGAAUCAUCGAAUCUUUGAACGCACAUUGCGCCCCCUGGUAUUCCGGGGGGCAUGCCUGUUCGAGCGUCAUUUCACCACUCAAGCCUCGCUUGGUAUUGGGCAACGCGGUCCGCCGCGUGCCUCAAAUCGACCGGCUGGGUCUUCUGUCCCCUAAGCGUUGUGGAAACUUUCGCUAAAGGGUGUUCGGGAGGCUACGCCGUAAAACAACCCCAUUUCUAAGGUUGACCUCGGAUCAGGUAGGGAUACCCGCUGAACUUAAGCAUAUCAAUAAGCGGAGGA